rnacentral:tRNA from 1 species
GUUUUUAUAGCUCAAUGGUAAAGCGGAAUACUGUUAAUGUUCUGAUAAUGUUCGAUUCAUUUUAAAGGCU